UAUUCUUGAUCCAUUUCGAAGCUCAUUACUACCAAAGACAGUGGAGGGUCUAAUAUGUUUGAAGAAUUGGUAUAGUGAAAGCAACCAACCAAUUAUUGUCAAGGAAUACAUGGAUGAAGAAGAAUUACUAAAUACUUCUGAACAACUUGAAAAUGAUAUUAUUGCUAGCGAGCAUCCUAAAUGAUAUAUAGCGUUGUUGCAAGUUUGAAAUGGUUUCAUUAGAGAUUAAGAGUUGCAUUUCAUUUGGAGCCAACUUUUGAAGUCACUUUUGUUUUAAUUAUGGAGACUUUAUGAAUUAUUAUGAACUUAAAUUGUGUUAUGGACUUAAAUUAUGGACUUUUUUUUUAGAUUGUUAUGAACUUGUAUGGACUUUUUAAGGACCUUUUCUAGAUUGUUAUGGAAUAGUACUAUGGACUUUAUAAGAAUUGUUACGAAAUUUUCAUGGAUUAUUAUUAUGCCUUGUUAUGGAGUUUAUAAAGAUUGAUAUGAAUUUUUUAAGGACUUUUAUGCAUUGUUAUUAACAGGUAUAAAUUUUUAGUUAAUUUUUUUUUUCUUGUGACAAUAUACUUUGGAAGUUUUGAUUUUUAAGCAACCCAAACCGCCCAAAAAACCGCAUAAAACCGCCCCUUAAAAAACCGCCCAACCCAAACUUUUAUUGGGCAGGUAUGGGUUGUGAUUUUAAAAAACCGCCAAAUAAAAAAACCGCCAAACCGCCCAAAAACUGCCCAACCCAACCCAUGUGCAGGCCUAAUAACUAAUUAGAUUGUAAAGGGUUUUAUUUAGGGCACAAAACAAAGCACGUUGAAAAUACUCGUGUUAGUCUGUAGGGUAAGUAAUCAAUCCAAGAAGCUACCAGAGUGGCGUACUCGUGUAUAAGAGCCAUUAUUCCAUGGGUAUAAUGAGCCAAUGGAGGCUUGAAGCGGGGACGUUACAACCCUACACUAGUUAGAUUUUUGCCAUUUUUCUUAACUAUUUAUCUAUUUUUCACAAAUACCAUUUUUUGCACUUUCAACCCUAUAAAUGGCAAAACUAUUUAUUUAAUAAUUAAAAUAAUUAUCAAAUAAAAUUUUCAUUUAUAAUAUUUAUUAAUUAGACUCCAUAAAGUCUCUUAAUUAAUAAAUAAAUCCUAAAAUCCUAUUUCUUCACAA